GCACUGCUGACGAGUCCCCCCAAACAGGACGAAACAGCUCUGUCCAGUGC
rnacentral:hammerhead_ribozyme from 1 species